UACAGAGGUGGCAAGCGUUGUUCGGAAUUACUGGGCGUAAGGGGCGCGUAGGCGGCCUUCUAAGUCAGACGUGAAAUCCCCCGGCUUAACCUGGGAACUGCGUCGGAUACUGGAUGGCUUGAAUUCGGGAGAGGGAUGCAGAAUUCCAGGUGUGGCGGUGAAAUGCGUAGAUAUCUGGAGGAAUACCGGUGGCGAAGGCGGCAUCCUGGACCGACAUUGACGCUGAGGAGCGAAAGCUAGGGGAGCAAACGGG
rnacentral:rRNA from 1 species